rnacentral:rRNA from 1 species
UACGUAGGGUGCAGGCGUUAAUCGGAAUUACUGGGCGUAAAGCGUGCGCAGGCGGCUCCUUAAGUCAGAUGUGAAAUCCCCGGGCUCAACCUGGGAACUGCAUUUGUGACUGCACGGCUAGAGUGUGUCAGAGGGGGGUAGAAUUCCACGUGUAGCAGUGAAAUGCGUAGAUAUGUGGAGGAAUACCGAUGGCGAAGGCAGCCCCCUGGGAUGACACUGACGCUCAUGCACGAAAGCGUGGGGAGCAAACAGG